AUUGAACGCUGGCGGCAGGCCUAACACAUGCAAGUCGAGCGGGUCGGCGGACGCGGCAGUGAUGGCUAGGAAUCUGCCUGUGAGUGGGGGAUAAGGUCAGGAAACGGGAGCUAAUACCGCAUCCUAUCAGCUUCGCCUAGGGCGGAUUAGCUAGUUGGUGGGGUAAAGGCAUACCAAGGCGACGAUCCGUAACUGGUCUGAGAGGAUGACCAGUCACACUGGAACUGAGACACGGGCCAGACUCCUACGGGAGGCAGCAGUGGGGAAUAUUGGACAAGGGGCGAAAGCCUGAUGCAGCCAUGCCGCGUGUGUGAAGAAGGUUUUCGGAUUGUAAAGCACUUUAAGUGGGGAGGCGUUACCAACAGAAGAAGCACCGGCUAACUCCGUGCCAGCAGCCGCGGUAAUAC
rnacentral:rRNA from 1 species